rnacentral:misc_RNA from 1 species
AACGCACAUUGCGCCUAUUAGCAUUCUAGUAGGCAUGCCUGUUCGAGCGUCAUUUCAACCCUGUCAAGCGCGGCUUGGUGAUGGGGGCUGCGGCGCAGCCUCCCAAAGCGAGCGGCGGAUGCGGCCGUGUCCGAGUGCAGUAGGACUCUCGCUCGGGAGACGGACCGGGUCUCGCUUUCCACUCUCCAAAGGUUGACCUCGGAUCAGGUAGGAAUACCCGCUGAACUUAA